AGUGAACGCUGGCGGUAGGCCUAACACAUGCAAGUCGAACGGCAGCACAGUAAGAGCUUGCUCUUACGGGUGGCGAGUGGCGGACGGGUGAGGAAUACAUCGGAAUCUACUUUUUCGUGGGGGAUAACGUAGGGAAACUUACGCUAAUACCGCAUACGACCUACGGGUGAAAGCAGGGGAUCUUCGGACCUUGCGCGAUUGAAUGAGCCGAUGUCGGAUUAGCUAGUUGGCGGGGUAAAGGCCCACCAAGGCGACGCUCCGUAGCUGGUCUGAGAGGAUGGUCAGCCACACUGGAACUGAGACACGGUCCAGACUCCUACGGGAGGCAGCAGUGGGGAAUAUUGGACAAAGGGCGCAAGCCUGAUCCAGCCAUACCGCGUGGGUGAAGAAGGCCUUCGGGUUGUAAAGCCCUUUUGUUGGGAAAGAAAAGCAGCAGGUUAAUACCCCGCUGUUCUGACGGUACCCAAAGAAUAAGCACCGGCUAACUUCGUG
rnacentral:rRNA from 1 species